rnacentral:rRNA from 1 species
GCGGCCUAUCAGCUUGUUGGUGGGGUAAUGGCUCACCAAGGCGACGACGGGUAGCCGGCCUGAGAGGGCGACCGGCCACACUGGGACUGAGACACGGCCCAGACUCCUACGGGAGGCAGCAGUGGGGAAUAUUGGGCAAUGGAGGAAACUCUGACCCAGCGACGCCGCGUGAGGGAUGAAGGCCUUCGGGUUGUAAACCUCUUUCAGUAGGGAAGAAGCGAAAGUGACGGUACCUACAGAAGAAGCACCGGCUAACUAUGUGCCAGCAGCCGCGGUAAUACAUAGGGUGCAAGCGUUGUCCGGAAUUAUUGGGCGUAAAGAGCUCGUAGGUGGUUCGAUACGUCGGAUGUGAAAAUCAGGGGCUCAACCCCUGACCUGCAUCCGAUACGGUCGAGCUGGAGUUUGGUAGGGGAGACUGGAAUUCCU